rnacentral:rRNA from 1 species
GUCCACGCCCUAAACGAUGUCAACUAGGUGUUGGGAGGGUAAAACCUUUUAGUACCGGAGCUAACGCGUGAAGUUGACCGCCUGGGGAGUACGGCCGCAAGGUUAAAACUCAAAGGAAUUGACGGGGACCCGCACAAGCGGUGGAUGAUGUGGAUUAAUUCGAUGCAACGCGAAAAACCUUACCUACCCUUGACAUGUUCAGAACCCUCGAGAGAUUGAGGGGUGCCCGAAAGGGAGCUGGAACACAGGUGCUGCAUGGCUGUCGU